CCUACGGGAGGCAGCAGUGGGGGAUAUUGCACAAUGGGGGGAACCCUGAUGCAGCGACGCCGCGUGGGUGAAGAAGCGCCUCGGCGCGUAAAGCCCUGUCAGCAGGGAAGAAAAUGACGGUACCUGAAGAAGAAGCCCCGGCUAACUACGUGCCAGCAGCCGCGGUAAUACGUAGGGAGCAAGCGUUCACCGGAUUUACUGGGUGAAAAGGGGGCGCGGACGGCGCGGCAAGCCAGGAGUGAAAGCCCGGGGCCCAACCCCGGGACUGCUCUUGGAACUGCGUGGCUGGAGUGCAGGAGGGGCAGGCGGAACUCCUGGUGUAGCGGUGAAAUGCGGAGAUAUCAGGAGGAACACCGGUGGCGAAGGCGGCCUGCUGGACUGCAACUGACGUUGAGGCCCGAAAGCGUGGGGAGCAAACAGGAUUAGAUACCCCGGUAGUC
rnacentral:rRNA from 1 species